GACGAACGCUGGCGGCGUGCCUAAUACAUGCCAGUCGAGCGGACUUAAAAAGCUUGCUUUUUAAGUUAGCGGCGGACGGGUGAGUAACACGUGGGCAACCUGCCUGUAAGACUGGGAUAACUUCGGGAAACCGGAGCUAAUACCGGAUAAUCCUUUUCUACUCAUGUAGAAAAGCUGAAAGACGGUUUACGCUGUCACUUACAGAUGGGCCCGCGGCGCAUUAGCUAGUUGGUGAGGUAACGGCUCACCAAGGCGACGAUGCGUAGCCGACCUGAGAGGGUGAUCGGCCACAUUGGGACUGAGACACGGCCCAGACUCCUACGGGAGGCAGCAGUAGGGAAUCUUCCGCAAUGGACGAAAGUCUGACGGAGCAACGCCGCGUGAGUGAUGAAGGUUUUCGGAUCGUAAAACUCUGUUGUUAGGGAAGAACAAGUACGAGAGUAACUGCUCGUACCUUGACGGUACCUAACCAGAAAGCCACGGCUAACUACGUG
rnacentral:rRNA from 1 species